rnacentral:sRNA from 1 species
UGAUCCGAGGUGGCGUGAUGUCCACGAU